rnacentral:rRNA from 1 species
AGUGAACGCUGGCGGUAGGCCUAACACAUGCAAGUCGAACGGCAGCACAGUAAGAGCUUGCUCUUACGGGUGGCGAGUGGCGGACGGGUGAGGAAUACAUCGGAAUCUACUUUUUCGUGGGGGAUAACGUAGGGAAACUUACGCUAAUACCGCAUACGACCUACGGGAGAAAGAAGGGGAUCUUCGGACCUUGCGCGAUUGAAUGAGCCGAUGUCGCAUUAGCUAGUUGGCGGGGUAAAGGCCCACCAAGGCGACGAUCCGUAGCUGAUCUGAGAGGAUGAUCAGCCACACUGGAACUGAGACACGGUCCAGACUCCUACGGGAGGCAGCAGUGGGGAAUAUUGGACAAUGGGCGAAAGCCUGAUGGAGCAAUGCCGCGUGGGUGAAGAAGGCCUUCGGGUUGUAAAGCCCUUUUGUUGGGAAAGAAAAGCAGCAGGUUAAACCGCCGCUGUUCUGACGGUACCCAAAGAAUAAGCACCGGCUAACUUCGUG